CCCCGGCUGAUAUCACUCACUUCCUGCUUGUCUUCUCCCGUCCACUCACUCCGUGUCCGCCGGUUCACACUCCAGUCCGGGGAAGAACUCUUGUCCCGUGGUGUUUCUCAGCAGAAGGGUCGUCGUGUCGUCUCCGCAUGACGCCCCUUUACUGAAAACCAUGUGACUUCAGGAGAAGUCCUUCACUUGACUUGACGGGAGGAUGAAGUCAGUGCUGUCCGACCUGUUCUUUGUUCCUCGUUUAUCUGCUGGAUCGGGAGGGGAUUUCUUUCCAUGACCACCUCUUCCAGCUCUUUUUGAGAAGCACACAGGAGAAUUACCGUGAGCUAAGUGGUUUAUUGGACCUUCUAAUCCCUGUAUACUGACGUAUGCCACAUCAUUUAUGUACAUACUGUCUAAGCCGGUGUUGACAAGCACCUGCUCUGGAAAACAAGGCUGCUAACUGUGUCCGACCCCCGACCUUUGACCUCCCUGCGGUGAGAGCAACUGAAACGAGAAAUUUGCAUACGAGGACAACAGAGACAUUAUUUUCUGUUUUGUUUUUUUUACUUUAGGCUGUGUGUGUGUCUCGCACACACACUUAAGUGACUGUCAUGAUGUCCAACCAGAUUUCCAGAAUAUUUUCCAUGUAGUUGUACCAAUACCACAGUUGUAAAAUGCUCCAUGCAAACAUACUGAAAUUAAAGUUUUGCUUGAGUAAAAACUUCAACAGAAAAAUGGCUCCUUUCUCAGUAAUAUAAAUAUAUAUACAUAUCAUAUUUCUCCCCAUGAGUGAUAUAUUAUUAUAUAUCAAAUAAUGGGAUUAGUUAAUGUUCAAACAUCACACAAAGAGAGUUGCACUCUAAUUUUGUUGUAUGCUUUGUUUACGAGAUCAUUAAAGGGGCAGUUCGCCCAAAUUUAUCAAAACAUAUUGUUCCUUUUUCACUUAUAGAGCCAUCUAGAUUGUUUUUGCGUGAGGUACCAAGUUUGGCUUUCUCACAAAUGUAAUGCAAUUAAAUAGCGCUCAUGCUUGUGGUGCUCAUCAGGCCAACAAUGACCUGGUUUCCACAGACCUUGUUGUGCACAGAUUC